UACGUAGGGUGCGAGCGUUAAUCGGAAUUACUGGGCGUAAAGCGUGCGCAGGCGGUUAUACAAGACAGAUGUGAAAUCCCCGGGCUCAACCUGGGAACUGCAUUUGUGACUGCAAGGCUAGAGUACGGCAGAGGGGGAUGGAAUUCCGCGUGUAGCAGUGAAAUGCGUAGAUAUGCGGAGGAACACCAAUGGCGAAGGCAAUCCCCUGGGCCUGUACUGACGCUCAUGCACGAAAGCGUGGGGAGCAAACAGG
rnacentral:rRNA from 1 species